rnacentral:rRNA from 1 species
GAUGAACGCUGGCGGCGUGCCUAACACAUGCAAGUCGAACGGAGUCGUUUUGGAAAUCUCUUCGGAGAUGGAAUUCUCGACUUAGUGGCGGACGGGUGAGUAACGCGUGAGCAAUCUGCCUUUAAGAGGGGGAUAACAGUCGGAAACGGCUGCUAAUACCGCAUAAAGCAUUAAAUUCGCAUGUUUUUGAUGCCAAAGGAGCAAUCCGCUUUUAGAUGAGCUCGCGUCUGAUUAGCUAGUUGGCGGGGUAACGGCCCACCAAGGCGACGAUCAGUAGCCGGACUGAGAGGUUGAACGGCCACAUUGGGACUGAGACACGGCCCAGACUCCUACGGGAGGCAGCAGUGGGGAAUAUUGCGCAAUGGGGGAAACCCUGACGCAGCAACGCCGCGUGAUUGAAGAAGGCCUCCGGGUUGUAAAGAUCUUUAAUCAGGGACGAAACAAAUGACGGUACCUGAAGAAUAAGCUCCGGCUAACUACGUG